rnacentral:rRNA from 1 species
GCCGUUGUAUUCUGAAGUUAGGAUUCUCGAAAACGACACCUAAGUUUUCUGGAAAGGAAUGCCACAGAGGGUGAUAGCCCCGUACGGUGUUGACUCGAUACAGAGUCCUAACAUGGAGUCGAGUUGUUUGGGAAUGCAGCUCAAAUGGGUGGUAUGCUCCAUCUAAGGCUAAAUAUUUGCGAGAGACCGAUAGCGAACAAGUACUGUGAAGGAAAGAUGAAAAGAACUUUGAAAAGAGAGUGAAAUAGUACGUGAAAUUGUUGAAAUGGAAGGGUAGGCCGCUAACCAUGUAGGACCGUGUUUGGGGGGAAGAUAAAUGCUGUAGA